UGCUGCGUGGGCAGCUCAGACUCUAAUCUGGUCCUACUCCUGCCUGUUCUUGCCUCCACAGUCCACAGCUGCCAGAGCUGUGUGUUUUCUUCUGCGGGAGCGCUCGGUGUCCUUUCAUAUGUUCAGAGACACAGAGUCUGCUCCUUGACCGAGUGGAUUCAACCUGCAACUUGUGCAGCAGGUGGGAAGGUUCUGAGUUCUACUCCUCAGCCGCACUGCCCCUGGGUUUCAGCUGUGGCUUGGUCUCCACCUCUGCCUGUGCUCCUGCCUGCUCUCACCUGGCGUUCUGCAAGAUCUCCUGUGUCUGAAGCAUUCUGACACUGAGAGAACAAGUCCUGUAGAAGAACAUGACUUUCCCUGUGCCUUGAGAUCGCACUCUCAGCACCAGGUCAAGACUGGGUGUCAGGCAAAUUCUCCUGAGAAGAAAUGAGAUCUAGGGGACUUCCCCAGUGGUCCAGUGGAUAAGAAUCCACCUGCCCAUCCAGAAGACACAGGUUCAAUCCCAG